AGGGAGGACGAACAAGAGGGAGGCGCGCCGGUGAGAAGACGGGGCGUGGCCGGCCGUAGGCGGAGCUAGCGCGGGUUGAAGUUGCGCAAGGAUCUAGUCCAGUCACUGGAGGGUAGCACCGGCACGUGUGUUCCCGUCAGUGUUUCCUGAGAAGGAAAAAAGUAGGGUGAGUGGGAAGAUAUCAUAGAGAAAGAUGUUUUCGACCAUAAAAAAUAAUAAAACAAUUCACAUUUUCCAUAAGGAGUUUCCUAAAACUUCCACUCUGGGCAAGAAAAGAAAAUGGGUCGGGACUUAGUGUCCCACUAUAAACAAUUAGAAAACGGAACAAAAUAUAGGAGACACCUAUUCAGACAUUGGACAACGGACAGCUGUGGACUGUUUUACCUGAGAGAAAAGAAAUAAAAGGAGCCGUAUAUCAUCCUGCCCUUUUGCCCAGAGGCGAUUUCCAGUCUGUGGUGCGAUGAAAGGAAAUCAUAUGGAAACCUAGGAUCUCCUGGGUUGAAAAGACAGAGAUUGGAGUUGACGAAAUUGGGGUAGGCCAAGUCGGUUGGAAUUUGUAGGGCAGAAUUCUGGAGAGGAGGGAAUUACAUGGAAAAAGAGCUUCAGAAAUCUGCUUAGGAGUACCUUGAAUCUUUAACUGAAUAAAAAACGUGAAACUCCACAAGGCCAGGAAAGAACAAUUACUGGGGAGCAGUACACCAAACAAUGGUGAGAGGUCACACAGAACUGGGAAUCAUUUGAGCUCCCAGCAACCAGAGUGAAGAGAUUAUUGAAUACCAUGGAACACGCAAUAGAAACCUCAGAUGUGAAACUGCCAUUGCAAAAUUAUCAUUGAGACAGUGAAAGAGAUCAGACCUAACCAACUCCAUCUUGCUUUUAACCUCCAGGCUAUCCUUAUUCAUUCCUAGGCGUAGGCCAAACUAACACUGGGAGGAACUUAGUGUAUAGCUUAUAGUUUAAAACAAAGGUGAUAGCCCUUUCUCAAAAUAAACCCUCUUCUUGAGACUAGACUGCUUUUGUAGGACUAGUAAAUUAGCCGAAAGAUUAGAAAUUAUGAUUUAGGACUCAUGCAGCUGAAGGCUACAAGAUUCUAACCCUCUCCAAAUUGCUCCUGGGGAUAAUAUCACUAUUGUAAAAUCUAAGAUCAGUGCUUGAGAUAUUUUGCAGGCCCUGCACUUGAUGGAUCAGCUGGCACCUCCCAGAUUGAUAAACUGACUCACCUGAUCUUGGAUAAACUAGCUCAUCUGAUUUUGUGUCCCCCACGGGAGGAACUGACUCAGUGCAAGAGGACAGCAUCGACUCCCUAUGAUUUCAUCUCCUACCCAACCAGUCACCACUCCCAUCUCACUGGCUUCUCACCCACCCAAUUAUCCUUAAAAACUCUGAUCCCCAAAUGCUCAGGGAGACUGAUUUGAUUAAUAAAACUCAGGUCUCCUGCACUGCCAGCUCUGCAUGAAUUGCUCUUUAUUGCAAUUCCCCUGUCUUGAUAAAUCGACUCUGUCUAGGCAGUAGGCAAGAUGAACCUUUUGGGUGGUUACGAAAGUGUCAUGCCUUAGUGAGAUAUAAUAACCGUAGACUGCAGGACCCAGAACAUAAACUACUGUAGAUUCUUCAAAAGCCUUAAAACAAGCCCUGAAAGGAUCAAACUGCUCUAAACAAAACCUCAUUCUGUCACACAGGCUGGAAUGCAAUGGCAGGAUGGUGGCUGCCUUGACCUCUGGGACUCAGGUGAUCCUCCCACCUCAGCCACUCAAGUAGCUGGGACUACAGGAGAUCUAACACAGGACAGAGGCAGAGAGAAUCCCCAAGAUGAUGGAGGAAGAUCGCAGCAUGACAGCUGUGCUCCAGGGGACAGUUGUGAGGAUCGGAGCAGCGCAAUUCAAGAGACAGGCACGUUGAAUGCUGUUACCACCAAGAUGUUGAAUGCUAUUGCAUACUCUAUUUAACAGGUGAACAGAAAGUCCAGUGAAUCUAGUCAGAUUUUGAUGUGUGAUUACUUUGCCUUUUUUUUUUUUUUUUUGAGACGGAGUCUUCCUGUCACUCAGGCUGGACUGCA
rnacentral:lncRNA from 1 species